rnacentral:sRNA from 1 species
UGACACACGGAGGCCAGACUCAGUGGCGC